rfam:Salmo salar isolate Sally breed double haploid chromosome ssa21, whole genome shotgun sequence.
UCCCGUGUGGCUCAGUUGGUAGAGCAUGGUGUUUGCAGCGCCAGGGGUGUGGGUUCGAUUCCCACAGGGGAC